CUCAGUGUUACACACCCUCCCAACCCCUGAGGGCAUCAGGCUUGGGAAUCACACAGACAGUGGGUGAGCAUAACAACAGCAGAAGGAAGGAGAAGAUGCACGAAAUACUCUGUGACAAAUUUCAAGACAUCUGGCAUUUCAGAUGGACAGUGUGGAUAAUCUAGACAUAUUUUGAUCAUUGGAAAGAUCUCUGUGCUUUGGAAAUAAGAAGAUGGAACACAGCUCAUAGGAUAGCUCUUAAAAUUUUAGAAAUAAUUCUGUGGAAGUUUCUGUUUCUCUACUAACAAAGGAAGACCACAGAACAAAGUUUCCUAGCCUGGAGGAAAAGGAGACUUCGGCGAAGAUAUUUGGAAUCAUUAGCUUCUUUCUCAUUUCCCUCCUCCUGUUGCUGCUCGGUGUGCUUGGGGCUGAAGGACGGGCUGUGGUACACCUGAACCAUGGGGGAACACAGACUCUGACAAGAUCCUCUGGCUGAAGAAAAAGAAGGCUGUGACUGGAAAGGAUCAGAUGCGACCACAAUUGAGCAUAGAACAAAAAUCCAAAGCUUCAUCUUGUCCAGCAGAUUCUAUUA